CUGCUACUGCUGCUGCUGCUACUGCUACUGCUGCUGCUGUAGUCAGCCCGCGAGAUGGAUGGCACAGCCCUAAUCACCCCCUGCAGUGCACUCCUCCACUUCCCUCCCUCCGCCCUGCCCAAGGCCCACCACACACCACCACUUCCCUCGCUGUCACCUUGGAUGGAUUCAGUGGGAUGCGGCUGUGUCCUGAGGGCUGAGGGAGCCAGUCCUCCUCCUUCUCCUUCUCUUCCUCCGCCUCCUCACGGGUGCCUUCCCGCCGUUAUCUCCAGGCUGGAGUCUCAUCAGCCUGCGCAGUAACUCUGGCUUCCAGCUGCCUCACCAGCAACUCCGACAGGGGAGAGGGCUGCCAGAGGAGCCGGAAGGGAGGCCGCUCCUAUAUCAGCAUCCUCUCAUGUGGCCCGCUUCAAGCCUCCCCACCAACAACACACGUCACCUGCCAGACGCGCAGUUGCGCCGCUUUCCGUUGGCACAAUUGGCAAUGGGAAGGAGCGACAGACAAAGAAACCUGGACGGACGGAUGCUGCUGCGCAGAACAACAUCUCCCGGGAGUCAUUUGGUGGAGUAA